AACGCAGACCGUGCAAUCCCUUACCGAAUUUUCUCAGAUAUACCUCAUAGAGAAUAGCUGUUUAGCGUAAUGUUAUUAUAGCGUAUGUAAUAAAUUAUUCACUGUUCUUUUUGGUAACUGUGAUUUAAAAGAAAAAAAACAGAAGAAGAAGCUUUCUAUGUUUUAGGUUGUGCUUUUGUACUAGACGGAGAAGGUGCGCUUAAAAAUGUACGUCAGUCUUUCUUCCCAUUGGGUUUCUUUUGUUGUUAUGGAUCGGGGAAAAGUUGCAGAAUGAGCCCAAAGUUUACAGUUUCAUAUUUUGCUGAAGAAACAAUCUGUGUUCAUUUGCUCUGUUGAAGAAAAAAAAAAAAAAAAAAAAGAAAAAAAGAGGAAAAAAAUUAUUUUCUACAUUCGUGCUACUUGGUCUGAAGAGCUGAUUGUCCUGUGUGACAGUGUAGUAUUAUAAUUAGCAACUGCCAAUCAGCGCUCCCAUGUUUAUGCAUGAGGCAAACCCUUAGCAGUGUGAUGCAUCGUGGUUCUUAAUGGCAACUUCUUCCUUUGGGUUUGGGACGAGGUCUUUGGGUUGAUGGUAUUUAUUUAUGCAUGGAGCCUGUUAGCUGUUCGCAGUCGUGGCGCAGUUGUGUUUGCAUUGACGCUGUGAAAUCAUGCCCAGUUUCGCCCCGUGCAGCUCAGGGCGGCUGUCCAGAUCAGCUCUGGUCUGUCCCUGUGUUAAACAGACCCAAAUUCAGUUACAAUGAAAUUGCCAUUUGGGGAGAAGUCUGGCCAGCUGGCAGCUUCUCCCCAGCGACUGGAUUCCUUCAGUCCCCUGGCAGUGCAUGUGCUGCUCCCCACGGAGGCUGCUGUGCGUUUUUUCCCAGGUCAGGAGCUCCUUUGGCUUUAUGGCAGCCCUGGGCACAGCAGGGCCGGCGCGGUGGGUGCUCAGGGACCACCCCUGGGCUCAGCAGCGCUGUCCUGGCCGUGUCACCCGGGUGUCCACCCGAGCACUCUGGCUGUGGCCUGUGCUGCUCCUGCCCCACGGGCAGCCCCUUGCCCCCCUGCCCUGGGGCCAGGUUUGUUAAGGUGCUUUAUCCCCUUUGAUUUGUCUAGAUUCACGCUUGAGCCCCCCCGUUUAAGGAUGGGUUAUGUUUUCUCUGCGGGCCCAGCCUCGGAGCCCCGAUGUCCCUCUGAUCCCAGACUGUGCUGGACAUAAAGCCAAACCAGCUGCUCCGUGCCCUGCACUCUGCGUGGAAAAGGAGGCCUGGGGAGGGGCAUUCUCCUGAGGAGGCCUCUGAGUGUUGAUAUUGUCUGUCAUUAAGGGUAUAUUAGAUAUGUGCUCUCAUUAGUGCAAGGAGACAUUUUUAUUUGGCCUUACUCGGUAGGUUGUGGUAAUAAUGAAAGCUGUGUAACAUAGUCGGGUUAUUUUCUUUCCUGAUUUCUCUGCCAAAGACAGUAACAGACACAAGAACUUUAAAUAGGGGUUUUUGUAAGACAGUUGAUGAUUGUAACAGUGGUUAAUCUUCCAGAAAGCUUUCCACGUUCUUCCGCAAUAAGCAGAGCGGGAUGUUCCGGCAGAGCCCUGCUGGCAGAUGCCACCACUCCUCACCGACACGCCGAGUACACCUGCAUUCCUCAGUCCAGAGGCAACGAGGGGUAUGUGAGGCCAUGGCAAGGGCACAGCGGGGCUGGCACGAGCUGCUCCAGCUGGCUGGAAUUUGCCAAGCAGCUCUACGGGAGGAGGCAGGAGGUUCCUGGAGCUGAAAUUCCAUGGCAAGGAGGAUGUAGCAGGUUUGCCUUCAUUCAUUCAUUCAUUUAGUCAGUUAUUUACCCUAGCUGUGGACAAGUCUUAUUUGUUCUGUUUCCUUGAAAAAAAGCGAAACAAAGUGUACAAGAAAAGCGCUUUGUUGUAUUUCUGUCUUUAAAAACAAAACCAAACCAGCCCUUUCUUGCCCUAACUCACUCCUCUGACCACCUGGAGCAGGGUCAGCGUGGGGAAGGCAUGGGGGACCCCAGAGCCCCCAGCAGCACCGUGUCCCAGCCCCAGAGCAGUGACAAGGCCCUGUGGGGUUUAUUGUCUGGGAUCUAACCUUGGCACCAAUGUCUAACCUUGGGGUUAAUAAACUCACUGAAAAA
rnacentral:lncRNA from 1 species